AGUUUGAUCAUGGCUCAGGACGAACGCUGGCGGCGUGCUUAACACAUGCAAGUCGAACGAUGAACCCCUUCGGUGGGGAUUAGUGGCGAACGGGUGAGUAACACGUGGGCAAUCUGCCCUGCACUCUGGGACAAGCCCUGGAAACGGGGUCUAAUACCGGAUACUGAUCGCCUUGGGCAUCCUUGGUGAUCGAAAGCUCCGGCGGUGCAGGAUGAGCCCGCGGCCUAUCAGCUUGUUGGUGAGGUAAUGGCUCACCAAGGCGACGACGGGUAGCCGGCCUGAGAGGGCGACCGGCCACACUGGGACUGAGACACGGCCCAGACUCCUACGGGAGGCAGCAGUGGGGAAUAUUGCACAAUGGGCGAAAGCCUGAUGCAGCGACGCCGCGUGAGGGAUGACGGCCUUCGGGUUGUAAACCUCUUUCAGCAGGGAAGAAGCGA
rnacentral:rRNA from 1 species